GGGCUGUAGCUCAGGGUAGAGCGCUUACCUAGCACAUGGGAGGCUCUGGGUUCAAUCCCCAGCAGCACCU
rnacentral:tRNA from 1 species